GGACUAGGAGAAUCCGACUGUCUAAUUAAAACAAAGCAUUGCGAUGGCCCCAGCGGGUGUUGACGCAAUGUGAUUUCUGCCCAGUGCUCUGAAUAUCAACGUGAAGAAAUUCAAGCAAGCGCGGGUAAACGGCGGGAGUAAUUAUGACUCUCUUUCGUGGAGUCAUAGAAGCGCCAACCACACCCCCUCCUCGUGGGUCCCGCCGGACAACAGACUUGUCUGGCUGAGAGUGUGGUGGCUAAUGGGUGGGGUGGGUUGCCAGCCCCCCCACCGACAGUUUUUGGCCCAAAAGAUACAAGAAAGCCUUGGAAAACCCCAGGAAACCAACAACCCGUUCCCCCUCCAAACCAUGCCUGCACCGAAUGCCCGGCGUAAUUUUCAACAAAGACAGGGCUUGGAGUUCAUAUGCGCGCUAAAAACCCCACCCAACUGGACGCUAGGCAAAUGCGCGUUGAUGUAAAAGCAAGAUGGACCGAGGAGGAGGUAAUGAUAGCCGGCACACAAGGAGGCCGAGAUCCUUUCACUGGGCGAAGUUCGGUUUAUAAAGAUCUAUGGUCCCCAAUAACUCUCGACGAGGUGAAGAAAAACGGGCUAGAUCUAGCUUCAUC
rnacentral:ncRNA from 1 species